rnacentral:misc_RNA from 1 species
UGCCUUUCUUCCUCCCUCUUCUCAUCCUCUCACUCUUCUCUUCUGCCUCUGCUUGUGAUCGUUGUGUUCAUCAAGCCAAAGCCGCCUUCUACCAAGACGAGUCCGCCGGUUUAUAUAGAGGCGCCUGUGGCUAUGGCGAUCUUACAUUGCAGCUCUCAAAUGGCUACUUCUCUGCCAUUAUGCCUCCUCUUUACAAGUACGGCGCUGGGUGUGGCGCUUGUUUUCAAGUAAGAUGCAAGAAUGAGAAAAUUUGUAGUAAAGAAGGGACGAAAAUUAUUGUCACAGAUCGAAAUGAUAAUACAUAUACAGGAUUGGUUCUUAGUCAGAAGGCUUUUGGUGAAAUGGCUGUGAGUGGAAAAGAUGGAUUGCUAUUGAGUUAUGGAGUUGUGGAUGUUGAAUUCAAAAGGAUUCCUUGUGAAUACAAUAACAAAAACUUGUUGGUUAGAGUGGAAGAAUGGAGUCAAUAUCCUAAUUACUUAGCCAUUAAAUUGCUUAACCAAGGUGGCCAAACAGAAAUAGUAGCGAUCGAUAUAGCUCAGGUUGGUUACUCGAAUUGGGAUUAUAUGGGUAGAAAUUAUGGAGCUGUAUGGGAGACUAAAAAACCAUUACCGAAAGGACCAUUGCAGUUGCGGUUCGUGGUGACUUCUGGAUAUGAUGGAAAGUGGAUUUGGGCAAAGUACGUACUUCCUGCUGACUGGAGACCUGGAUUGAUUUACGAUACUGGAGUUCAAAUCUCCGACAUUGCUAAAGAAGGUUGUCCAACAGAACAAUGUGGUGAUGGACAAUGGAAACGAUAGAUAUAUUUGACUGGUCUCCAUCAAAUAGAUGUUAUAUAUAAAGUUAUAAUAUCAUAUAGUGUAAGAAAAUGGAAAAUAAAAUAAGAGAUGGAUGGAGCAGGAUGAUUGUAUCAUAAUCAUUAAGUAAAUAAUAA